GACGGGGGGGGGCAAGCGUUGUUCGGAAUUACUGGGCGUAAAGGGCUCGUAGGUGGCCAACUAAGUCAGACGUGAAAUCCCUCGGCUUAACCGGGGAACUGCGUCUGAUACUGGAUGGCUUGAGUUUGGGAGAGGGACGCGGAAUUCCAGGUGUAGCGGUGAAAUGCGUAGAUAUCUGGAGGAACACCGGUGGCGAAGGCGGCGUCCUGGACCAACACUGACACUGAUGAGCGAAAGCCAGGGGAGCAAACGGGG
rnacentral:rRNA from 1 species